GAUGAAGAACGCAGCGAAAUGCGAUAAGUAAUGUGAAUUGCAGAUUUCAGUGAAUCAUCGAAUCUUUGAACGCACCUUGCGCCUUGUGGUAUUCCACAAGGCAUGCCCGUUUGAGUAUCAUUAAAUCAUCAACUCUAAAACCUUUGUGGUUUUUUUAGAGCUUGGUCUUGAGGGUUUUGCAGGCUUUUUUUUUUUCGAGUCUGCUCCCUUUAAAUGCAUUAGCGAGACUUCCCUAUGCUGAACCUUCUCUUUGACGUGAUAAUUAUCUGCGUCGAAUUUUGGUUCUCGUUGGGCUUGCUUCUAAUCGUCUGUUAAAGACAAAACGGAUUUGGGUGCAUAUAUGCGCCUUUUUCCAAAACCUUUUUUGAUCUCAAAUCGGGUAGGACUACCCGCUGAACUUAAGCAUAUCAAUAAGCGGAGGA
rnacentral:misc_RNA from 1 species